AGGCAGCAGUGAGGAAUUUUGGUCAAUGGGCGGAAGCCUGACGUACGAACGCCGCGUGCAGGAAGACGGCCCUACGGGUUGUAAACUGCUUUUGUACGGGAAUAAACCCCGGUUUGGGAGGAGCUGUUAGUACCGUACGAAUAAGGCCCGGCUAACUACGUG
rnacentral:rRNA from 1 species